rnacentral:rRNA from 1 species
CCAAUGUGAACGUUACCAAACUGUUGCCUCGGCGGGAUCUCUGCCCCGGGUGCGUCGCAGCCCCGGACCAAGGCGCCCGCCGGAGGACCAACCAAAACUCUUAUUGUAUACCCCCUCGCGGGUUUUUUUAUAAUCUGAGCCUUCUCGGCGCCUCUCGUAGGCGUUUCGAAAAUGAAUCAAAACUUUCAACAACGGAUCUCUUGGUUCUGGCAUCGAUGAAGAACGCAGCGAAAUGCGAUAAGUAAUGUGAAUUGCAGAAUUCAGUGAAUCAUCGAAUCUUUGAACGCACAUUGCGCCCGCCAGUAUUCUGGCGGGCAUGCCUGUCCGAGCGUCAUUUCAACCCUCGAACCCCUCCGGGGGGUCGGCGUUGGGGAUCGGCCCUGCCUUGGCGGUGGCCGUCUCCGAAAUACAGUGGCGGUCUCGCCGCAGCCUCUCCUGCGCAGUAGUUUGCACACUCGCAUCGGGAGCGCGGCGCGUCCACAGCCGUUAAACACCCAACUUCUGAAAUGUUGACCUCGGAUCAGGUAGGAAUACCCGCUGAACUUAAGCAUAUCAAUAAGCGGA